GGACGAGUAGCUCAGUUGGUUAGAGCACGUCACUGAUAAUGACGGGGUCGGAGGUUCGAAUCCUCCCUCGUCCA
rnacentral:tRNA from 1 species